GCAAAACCCGAGUGGGAACAGCGCUAAGCGACCGAACUCCAAAUGCUUUAGAUUAAAACGAGCAGAGGCUGUUUAGGACUAGGACAGAAAUAGGAGCAAAUAAAAGCAAAAUUCUGCAGAAGAGGCUCUGGGUGCGUGAAGCACCUGAGAGCAAUUGCAAACGCAAAAGUGUCACUGUAACCAGAUACACAAACAUCAAGGCCCAGCCUUCAAGACCCUGUGGAGGUCCCCUAGGCCUCCUCCCUCUGCAAGAGAAGCCGGUGCCUGAAGCUCUGGACCUUCCUACUUGUCAUCCAAAGCGGGAUUUCCAGCCUUGUGAGGAGGGUGGGCAGCUCGUGUCCAGCACAGAGACCAUGUGGGCAGAUGCUUUCUUCAGAAGAAAAGAAUUUGGAGAAUGUUGAGGAAGAGGGGAAAAGUGCAGGAGAAACGGAGAGCUGGAUCCUCAUCUAACAGAGGACCUGCAUCUGCUUCUCUGUUGGAUGUAGCGGGUAGUACAAGAAAACCCCCAUAACGCUUUGUCUGUAGUGAAGCAAUGCACCAAAAGACCUGUUUUAAUGCUUCAAAUUCAGCACCCCUGUGAACUCCAAUCUCACACCUGCUCCGUGCGAGAUGGGUUAUGGAGAGUGGAGACAAGCGGGUGCAUCCAGCGGAGCCACUGCUUUGCUCCUCUCCCUGCCUGCAGGACAGGCUCUGGCUGCCUGUGAGCUGGUGUGGCUGCAGACUGGGGCUGUAAAACUGUGCUGUGUGACCUGAUGAUCUCCCUGGAGUUUCCUGGUGUUUCUGUUUUAUGGUCCUUUCACACCUUCCCAGCCUUCCCAGUGCUUGCACGACUGGAAUGCAGCACCAGACUCCAGGCCAAGACAGGUGAAAUGCUUGUAAAGUAACUGGGAAAUGAAAGAUUUUGCUCCCCUCCUCACCCAUUUUGGAUUUCCAUGGGAUUGCUAGCAUGACAGGGUUAUAGUUAUAUUUGAAGGAGCACAAGAUGUGAAUCACUGUGUGUAGGCUGGUAUUUCAAAUGUGACUGACAGUUGCUUUUCAACACUUGAAUAUCAAUAUGGUGCUGGUAGGUAUCUGUGAAUCUUUUCAACUGGCCACAGCAAUGCAGAGAAAGGCAGAUCUCACGUCCACGUUCUACUUGCUUUCUGGUAUCAGGCUCUAACUUCUGGAAUUUAGAACCACUUUUAGUCAUAAUGUCAUUUAAUCGUGUCUUUAUGCUUUCUUCCCCUUUUGUAAAUAAUUGACAUGAGAAAGGAAAAUACUAAAGAGGGUGGUGGUAGAAAAUGAACAGUGAAAAACAGUAAAUGCAAUGUCUGCCCCUUUCUCUACCUAUUUCUGAGUUUAGUUUAUUCAGAGCAUGUGAAGUAGCACAUUGUCUUUUCCAUGCAGGGAGAAACUGUGACU
rnacentral:lncRNA from 1 species